rnacentral:miRNA from 1 species
CAGUUACACAGCUCGUGAGUGCCUGCUGGGGUGGAACCUGGUCUGUCUGUCUGUCUAGCACCACAGCUCGGGCGCUGCUGCACAGGGAAGAAAGAUUUGGGUGAGGG